GAUGAACGCUAGCGAUAGGCUUAACACAUGCAAGUCGAGGGGCAGCAUGGUCUUAGCUUGCUAAGACUGAUGGCGACCGGCGCACGGGUGCGUAACGCGUAUGCAACUUGCCUCACAGAGGGGGAUAACCCGUCGAAAGACGGACUAAUACCGCGUACACUUGGGAUAGGGCAUCCUGACCCAAGGAAAUGAAAUUCGCUGUGAGAUAGGCAUGCGUCCCAUUAGCUAGUUGGUGAGGUAACGGCUCACCAAGGCGACGAUGGGUAGGGGAACUGAGAGGUUGAACCCCCACACUGGUACUGAGACACGGACCAGACUCCUACGGGAGGCAGCAGUGAGGAAUAUUGGUCAAUGGGCGAGAGCCUGAACCAGCCAAGUCGCGUGAAGGAUGACUGUCUUAUGGAUUGUAAACUUCUUUUAUACGGGAAUAACAAGAGCCGCGUGUGGCUCCCUGCAUGUACCGUAUGAAUAAGCAUCGGCUAACUCCGUG
rnacentral:rRNA from 1 species